rnacentral:rRNA from 1 species
CCUACGGGAGACAGCAGUGAGGAAUAUUGGUCAAUGGGCGAGAGUCUGAACCAGCCAAGUAGCGUGAAGGAUGACUGCCCUAUGGGUUGUACACUUCUUUUAUAUAGGAAUAAAAUGUUCCACGUGUGGGUUUUUGUAUGUACUUUAUGACUAAGGAUCGGCUAACUCCGUGCCAGCAGCCGCGGUAAUACGGAGGAUCCGAGCGUUAUCCGGAUUUAUUGGGUUUAAAGGGAGCGUAGAUGGGUUGUUAAGUCAGUUGUGAAAGUUUGCGGCUCAACCGUAAAAUUGCAGUUGAAACUGGCAGACUUGAGUACAGUAGAGGUAGGCGGAAUUCGUGGUGUAGCGGUGAAAUGCUUAGAUAUCACGAAGAACUCCGAUUGCGAAGGCAGCUCACUAGACUGCAACUGACAUUGAUGCUCGAAAGUGUGGGUAUCAAACAGGAUUAGAUACCCCGGUAGUC